CCCUAGCCCCGAUAGUAGUAAAAAUCCUUAUGUGAAAGGGUUAGACACAUAAGAUUGAAGCGGAUAGCAGGAUUAAGC
rnacentral:snRNA from 1 species